CCAAGAAGCUCAGUGGUUUAGACCGCAGUGCCACCAGUGUCCUAGUAUUAGAAGCGAUGGUUAAUAAAGGCUGUGCACUGCUGUGCUCCCUCCCUGCUGAAAGUGAUGGGCACAGUCACUGAAGGCAAAUGUAGUGCACAAUAAUAGGAUGGGGCGUAGCUGGCCAGCUCCCAUCAAUCACAAGAGACAGGAAAGUAGAAAUUGCACAUGAUACCUGGGACUGAAAUGGGUUCAUCUCUUUUCUUCAAAGGGAGCUGUGUGUUUACUCUGCUUUCAGUGCCAGGACUCUAUAGCAUCUGGGGAGUGAUGACAGUGCCUCUGAGUGUAUACAGCUUGUCUUUCUUUCCACCUCUAACAAACCACAGCCAGUUCUCAAACAGUCAAGAUUAAGAAGCAGAGACUGGAGGCCUGAUGAAUUAUUUCCUCAAUGCUUUCAGAAGAUAAAAUAAUAAUAAUAAUAAUAAUAAUAAU
rnacentral:lncRNA from 1 species